rnacentral:rRNA from 1 species
GGUUAAGCGACUAAGCGUACACGGUGGAUGCCCUGGCAGUCAGAGGCGAUGAAGGACGUGCUAAUCUGCGAUAAGCGUCGGUAAGGUGAUAUGAACCGUUAUAACCGGCGAUUUCCGAAUGGGGAAACCCAGUGUGUUUCGACACACUAUCAUUAACUGAAUCCAUAGGUUAAUGAGGCGAACCGGGGGAACUGAAACAUCUAAGUACCCCGAGGAAAAGAAAUCAACCGAGAUUCCCCCAGUAGCGGCGAGCGAACGGGGAGCAGCCCAGAGCCUGAAUCAGUGUGUGUGUUAGUGGAAGCGUCUGGAAAGGCGCGCGAUACAGGGUGACAGCCCCGUACACAAAAAUGCACAUGCUGUGAGCUCGAUGAGUAGGGCGGGACACGUGGUAUCCUGUCUGAAUAUGGGGGGACCAUCCUCCAAGGCUAAAUACUCCUGACUGACCGAUAGUGAACCAGUACCGUGAGGGAAAGGCGAAAAGAACCCCGGCGAGGGGAGUGAAAAAGAACCUGAAACCGUGUACGUACAAGCAGUGGGAGCACGCUUAGGCGUGUGACUGCGUACCUUUUGUAUAAUGGGUCAGCGACUUAUAUUCUGUAGCAAGGUUAACCGAAUAGGGGAGCCGAAGGGAAACCGAGUCUUAACUGGGCGUUAAGUUGCAGGGUAUAGACCCGAAACCCGGUGAUCUAGCCAUGGGCAGGUUGAAGGUUGGGUAACACUAACUGGAGGACCGAACCGACUAAUGUUGAAAAAUUAGCGGAUGACUUGUGGCUGGGGGUGAAAGGCCAAUCAAACCGGGAGAUAGCUGGUUCUCCCCGAAAGCUAUUUAGGUAGCGCCUCGUGAAUUCAUCUCCGGGGGUAGAGCACUGUUUCGGCAAGGGGGUCAUCCCGACUUACCAACCCGAUGCAAACUGCGAAUACCGGAGAAUGUUAUCACGGGAGACACACGGCGGGUGCUAACGUCCGUCGUGAAGAGGGAAACAACCCAGACCGCCAGCUAAGGUCCCAAAGUCAUGGUUAAGUGGGAAACGAUGUGGGAAGGCCCAGACAGCCAGGAUGUUGGCUUAGAAGCAGCCAUCAUUUAAAGAAAGCGUAAUAGCUCACUGGUCGAGUCGGCCUGCGCGGAAGAUGUAACGGGGCUAAACCAUGCACCGAAGCUGCGGCAGCGACGCUUAUGCGUUGUUGGGUAGGGGAGCGUUCUGUAAGCCUGUGAAGGUGUGCUGUGAGGCAUGCUGGAGGUAUCAGAAGUGCGAAUGCUGACAUAAGUAACGAUAAAGCGGGUGAAAAGCCCGCUCGCCGGAAGACCAAGGGUUCCUGUCCAACGUUAAUCGGGGCAGGGUGAGUCGACCCCUAAGGCGAGGCCGAAAGGCGUAGUCGAUGGGAAACAGGUUAAUAUUCCUGUACUUGGUGUUACUGCGAAGGGGGGACGGAGAAGGCUAUGUUGGCCGGGCGACGGUUGUCCCGGUUUAAGCGUGUAGGCUGGUUUUCCAGGCAAAUCCGGAAAAUCAAGGCUGAGGCGUGAUGACGAGGCACUACGGUGCUGAAGCAACAAAUGCCCUGCUUCCAGGAAAAGCCUCUAAGCAUCAGGUAACAUCAAAUCGUACCCCAAACCGACACAGGUGGUCAGGUAGAGAAUACCAAGGCGCUUGAGAGAACUCGGGUGAAGGAACUAGGCAAAAUGGUGCCGUAACUUCGGGAGAAGGCACGCUGAUAUGUAGGUGANNNNNNNNNNNNNNNNNNNNNNNNNNNNNNNNNNNNNNNNNNNNNNNNNNNNNNNNNNNNNNNNNNNNNNNNNNNNNNNNNNNNNNNNNNNNNNNNNNNNNNNNGCGAAGCUCUUGAUCGAAGCCCCGGUAAACGGCGGCCGUAACUAUAACGGUCCUAAGGUAGCGAAAUUCCUUGUCGGGUAAGUUCCGACCUGCACGAAUGGCGUAAUGAUGGCCAGGCUGUCUCCACCCGAGACUCAGUGAAAUUGAACUCGCUGUGAAGAUGCAGUGUACCCGCGGCAAGACGGAAAGACCCCGUGAACCUUUACUAUAGCUUGACACUGAACAUUGAGCCUUGAUGUGUAGGAUAGGUGGGAGGCUUAGAAGUGUGGACGCCAGUCUGCAUGGAGCCGACCUUGAAAUACCACCCUUUAAUGUUUGAUGUUCUAACGUUGACCCGUAAUCCGGGUUGCGGACAGUGUCUGGUGGGUAGUUUGACUGGGGCGGUCUCCUCCUAAAGAGUAACGGAGGAGCACGAAGGUUGGCUAAUCCUGGUCGGACAUCAGGAGGUUAGUGCAAUGGCAUAAGCCAGCUUGACUGCGAGCGUGACGGCGCGAGCAGGUGCGAAAGCAGGUCAUAGUGAUCCGGUGGUUCUGAAUGGAAGGGCCAUCGCUCAACGGAUAAAAGGUACUCCGGGGAUAACAGGCUGAUACCGCCCAAGAGUUCAUAUCGACGGCGGUGUUUGGCACCUCGAUGUCGGCUCAUCACAUCCUGGGGCUGAAGUAGGUCCCAAGGGUAUGGCUGUUCGCCAUUUAAAGUGGUACGCGAGCUGGGUUUAGAACGUCGUGAGACAGUUCGGUCCCUAUCUGCCGUGGGCGCUGGAGAACUGAGGGGGGCUGCUCCUAGUACGAGAGGACCGGAGUGGACGCAUCACUGGUGUUCGGGUUGUCAUGCCAAUGGCACUGCCCGGUAGCUAAAUGCGGAAGAGAUAAGUGCUGAAAGCAUCUAAGCACGAAACUUGCCCCGAGAUGAGUUCUCCCUGAC